rnacentral:rRNA from 1 species
CACGUAGGGCGCAAGCGUUGUCCGGAAUUAUUGGGCGUAAAGAGCUCGUAGGUGGUUUGUUACGUCUGCUGUGAAAACCUAGGGCUUAACCCUGGGCUUGCAGUGGGUACGGGCAGACUAGAGUGUGGUAGGGGAGACUGGAAUUCCUGGUGUAGCGGUGAAAUGCGCAGAUAUCAGGAGGAACACCGAUGGCGAAGGCAGGUCUCUGGGCCACUACUGACGCUGAGAAGCGAAAGCAUGGGGAGCGAACAGG